UAAUACGUAGGUGGCAAGCGUUACUCGGAAUCACUAGGCGUAAAGCGCAGGUAGGUGGCUUGAUAAGUCUAUUGUGAAAGCUCCCGGCUUAACUGGGAGAGGUCAAUGGAUACUGUUAGGCUUGAGUGUGGUAGGGGAAGCUGGAAUUCCUGGUGUAGCGGUGAAAUGCGUAGAUAUCAGGAGGAACACCUAAGGCGAAAGCAGGCUUCUGGGCCAACACUGACACUGAGCUGCGAAAGCUAGGGGAGCAAACAGGAUUAGAUACCCUGGUAGUCCUAGCCCUAAACGAUGUUCAUUAGAUGUGGGGGGUAUCGACCCCUUCCGCGUCGACGCUAACGCAUUAAAUGAACCGCCUGGGGAGUACGGCCGCAAGGUUG
rnacentral:rRNA from 1 species